rnacentral:rRNA from 1 species
CAGCCGCCGCGGUAAUACCGGCGGCCCGAGUGGCGGUCACUAUUAUUGGGCUUAAAGCGUCCGUAGCCGGGUUGGGAAGUCCUCCGGGAAAUCUGGCCGCUUAACGGUCAGAAUGCCGGAGGAUACUCCCAGCCUAGGGAGCGGGGGAGGCCGAGGGGAUUCCCGGAGUAGGGGUGAAAUCCUAUAAUCCCGGGAGGACCACCUGGGGCGAAGGCGCUCGGCUGGAACGCGUCCGACGGUGAGGGACGAAGGCCAGGGGAGCAAACCGGAUUAGAUACCCGGGUAGUCCUGGCUGUAAACGAUGCGGACUUUGUGUCGGACAAGCUAUGAGCUUGUCCGGUGCCGGAGGGAAACCGUUAAGUCCGCCGCCUGGGGAGUACGGCCGCAAGGCUGAAACUUAAAGGAAUUGGCGGG